rnacentral:rRNA from 1 species
UACGUAGGGUGCGAGCGUUGUCCGGAAUUAUUGGGCGUAAAGAGCUCGUAGGCGGUGUGUCACGUCGGCCGUGAAAACCUGCAGCUUAACUGUGGGCGUGCGGUCGAUACGGGCAUCACUGGAGUUCGGCAGGGGAGACUGGAAUUCCUGGUGUAGCGGUGAAAUGCGCAGAUAUCAGGAAGAACACCGGUGGCGAAGGCGGGUCUCUGGGCCGAUACUGACGCUGAGGAGCGAAAGCGUGGGGAGCAAACAGG